rnacentral:rRNA from 1 species
UACGAAGGGGGCUAGCGUUGUUCGGAAUUACUGGGCGUAAAGCGCACGUAGGCGGAUAUUUAAGUCAGGGGUGAAAUCCCGGGGCUCAACCCCGGAACUGCCUUUGAUACUGGGUAUCUCGAGUCCGAGAGAGGUGAGUGGAAUUCCGAGUGUAGAGGUGAAAUUCGUAGAUAUUCGCAAGAACACCAGUGGCGAAGGCGGCUCACUGGCCCGAUACUGACGCUGAGGCACGAAAGCGUGGGGAGCAAACAGGG